rnacentral:rRNA from 1 species
UACGUAGGGGGCAAGCGUUGUCCGGAAUUAUUGGGCGUAAAGAGCUCGUAGGCGGCCAGUUGCGUCUGCUGUGAAAUCCCGGGGCUCAACCCCGGGCGUGCAGUGGAUACGGGCUGGCUAGAGGCAGGCAGGGGAGAACGGAAUUCCCGGUGUAGCGGUGAAAUGCGUAGAUAUCUGGAGGAACACCGGUGGCGAAGGCGGCAUCCUGGACCGGCAUUGACGCUGAGGAGCGAAAGCCAGGGGAGCAAACGGG